UUUUAAUAUUGUACUUGAAAUUUAUCUAUUUGUGUCUUGUAUAUAGCUGAUGGAACCCAAUGAGGCAAUGACCAGUAUGAGGAAUGGACUGAUUUCAGGGAAAGAAUCAAGGAAGAGAUUAUUUCAUUGGGCUGUUGGCAGCCAAAAUUAAUUUUUACAAUAUUGAGUCAGUUGGGUUCAUGGCUUGUUUGACAUUCAUAAAACAUGGCGUAUUUGUGUGCAACACUUCGGGACAAAGGAAAUGUGUAUUAUUGCAUUACAGAUUUAAUAUGAGAUCUAUACAUCUUGGUAGCCAAGUUGGUUGAAGGAUAGCCCAAAGACAUUUCAGUUAAUGGUAUGGUGGACAUAUCUCAUCAUGGCCCCAAACCCAUAAUUCCCACAAGAAUGACCAGAUCAUCUGGUACCAACAUUUUAUCCUUCCACCCACAGAAAGCAGGACUUUGUCUAGCACAUUCCAGAGCUUGUACUUCUCAUGUGUAACAAACUGUCUUCCAGCAGACUUAAGAGAACCUAACACAUUCUUAAAGUACAAAUACAUUUAAGAGAUUGUUAGGAGACUAUUACUCGAAAGCCCUGCAUUGAUGCAGAGGAUGCAAGAACAUGGAAAUCUGUGUUUAAACUAUAAAGGUUGUCGAAGUUUGAACUAUGUUAUUAACUGCUGUUUCUAGAUGUUUGUCGUUAAAAGGCC